rnacentral:lncRNA from 1 species
UUUUCCCCCUCUUCUCUAUCUAUCACGCCCAGGUCUCCCAUCUUCUUUUUUUUUUUUCUCUGCAGCCGCACCACUAGACCCAUAUUCCAUCCCCAUUUUUCCUUUCUCAAACACCAAAGCCGACCUCACCCACUUACCCUCUCUCUAUCUCUUCCUCUCGGCAACACAACCAAGAACCUCCUCACCAAUUUUUUCUCCUCACAAAGAACCUCCUCACCAAGAUCCAUUUCUCUCUCACCUCUCAUUAUUCUUCACCAUUCCUCAAUCAAAUUUAAUCAUUUUGUCAAGGAUCCGGGUUUAGGUAUAAGAGAGAGUAUAAUUCCAAACUAGUCAUUCUCACUCUUUAGUGUAGUUGUGAUUAGUGUUGGUCUCUCUCUUUUCUUUACUCUCUUCUUGCUUUAAUUUUUUGUAAUUGAUGAAUUUCUUUGUGGGGCUUGAAGCCCUAGCAAUUUUUAUCAUGUAA